GACGAACGCUGGCGGCGUGCCUAAUACAUGCAAGUAGAACGCUGAAGAGAGGAGCUUACUCUUCUUGGAUGAGUUGCGAACGGGUGAGUAACGCGUAGGUAACCUGCCUUGUAGCGGGGGAUAACUAUUGGAAACGAUAGCUAAUACCGCAUAACAAUGGAUGACACAUGUCAUUUAUUUGAAAGGGGCAAUUGCUCCACUACAAGAUGGACCUGCGUUGUAUUAGCUAGUAGGUGAGGUAAUGGCUCACCUAGGCGACGAUACAUAGCCGACCUGAGAGGGUGAUCGGCCACACUGGGACUGGGAAACGGCCCAGACUCCUACGGGAGGCAGCAGUAGGGAAUCUUCGGCAAUGGGGGCAACCCUGACCGAGCAACGCCGCGUGAGUGAAGAAGGUUUUCGGAUCGUAAAGCUCUGUUGUAAGUCAAGAAAGGGUGUGAGAGUGGAAAGUUCACACUGUGACGGUAGCUUACCAGAAAGGGACGGCUAACUACGUG
rnacentral:rRNA from 1 species